rnacentral:rRNA from 1 species
CCUACGGGGGGCAGCAGUGAGGAAUAUUGGUCAAUGGACGAGAGUCUGAACCAGCCAAGUAGCGUGAAGGAUGACUGCCCUAUGGGUUGUAAACUUCUUUUAUAUGGGAAUAAAAUGUUCCACGUGUGGGAUUUUGUAUGUACCAUAUGAAUAAGGAUCGGCUAACUCCGUGCCAGCAGCCGCGGUAAUACGGAGGAUCCGAGCGUUAUCCGGAUUUAUUGGGUUUAAAGGGAGCGUAGGUGGAUGUUUAAGUCAGUUGUGAAAGUUUUCGGCUCAACCGUAAAAUUGCAGUUGAAACUGGCAGUCUUGAGUACAGUAGAGGUGGGCGGAAUUCGUGGUGUAGCGGUGAAAUGCGUAGAUAUCACGAAGAACUCCGAUUGCGAAGGCAGUUCACUGGACUGCAACUGACACUGAGGCUCGAAAGUGUGGGUAUCAAACAGGAUUAGAUACCCCUGUAGUC